rnacentral:rRNA from 1 species
UACGAGGGGGGCGAGCGUUGUUCGGAAUUAUUGGGCGUAAAGGGUGCGUAGGCGGUUUGGUAAGUCUGAUGUGAAAUCUAUGGGCUCAACUCAUAGUCUGCAUCGGAAACUGCCGGGCUUGAGUGUGGGAGAGGUGAGCGGAAUUCCUGGUGUAGCGGUGAAAUGCGUAGAUAUCAGGAGGAACACCUGUGGCGAAAGCGGCUCACUGGACCAUAACUGACGCUGAUGCACGAAAGCUAGGGGAGCAAACCGG